rnacentral:rRNA from 1 species
CCCUUAGAUGUUCUGGGCCGCACGCGCGCUACACUGACGAAUGCAACGAGCUUAUAACCUUGGCCGAAAGGUCUGGGUAAUCUCCAAAUUUCGUCGUGAUGGGGAUAGAUUAUUGCAAUUAUUAAUCUUCAACGAGGAAUGCAUAGUAAGCGCAAGUCAUCAGCUUGCGUUGAUUACGUCCCUGCCCUUUGUACACACCGCCCGUCGCUCCUACCGAUUGAAUGGUCCGGUGAAGCGUUCGGACCGUGGCCUUUGGACGGUUCGCCGUCUGUUGGCUGCGGGAAGUUCGUUAAACCUUAUCAUUUAGAGGAAGGAGAAGUCGUAACA